UAACAGUCUCCAGUCACGGCC
rnacentral:ncRNA from 6 species